rnacentral:rRNA from 1 species
AUUGAACGCUGGCGGCAGGCCUAACACAUGCAAGUCGAACGAGUGGCGGACGGGUGAGUAAUGUCUGGGAAACUGCCUGAUGUAGGGGGAUAACUAAUGGAAACGGUAGAUACUACCGCAUAGCAUCGGAUGGGCCCAGAUGGGAUUAGCUAGUGGGUGGGGUAAAGGCUCACCAAGGCGACGAUCCCUAGCUGGUCUGAGAGGAUGACCGGCCACACUGGAACUGAGACACGGUCCAGACUCCUACGGGAGGCAGCAGUGGGGAAUAUUGCGCAAUGGGCGCAAGCCGGAUGCAGCCAUGCCGCGUGUAUGAAGAAGGCCUUCGGGUUGUAAAGUACUUUCGGCGGGGAGGCGUUACCCGCAGAAGAAGCACCGGCUAACUCCGUGCCAGCAGCCGCGGUAAUAC